AUGAGGCAGUCCUGCAAUGGAGCCCCUGCACAGAGCUCAGAGCCCACUAUGCACCUGAACUGGAGCUUCCUCUUCUUAGUUGCUGCAGCUACAGGUGUCCACUCCCAGAUCAAACUGGAGCAGCCUGGGGCUGAAGUGAGGACGACUGGAGACUCGGCCAAACUGGCUUGCCAGGCCUCUGGAUACACCUUCACCAGCUAUUAUAUGCACUGGGUGAGGCAGAAGGCAGUACAGGGGCUUGAGUGGAUUGGAAGGAUUGACCCUGAAGAUGGUGAGACCAAAUAUGCUCAGAAGUUCCAGGGCAAGGUCUCCCUGACUGCAGACACCUACCUCCUCCAGCACAGCAUCCCUGGAGCUGAGCAGACUGACAGCAGAAGACUCGGCCAUGUACUACUGUGCGAGGCAGUGUGCACACCCACAUCCUGA